rnacentral:rRNA from 1 species
GACGAACGCUGGCGGCGCGCCUAAAACAUGCAAGUCGAACGAGAAGCCCGGGCUUGCCCGGGUGGACAGUGGCGAACGGGUGAGUAACACGUGAGGAACCUGCCCCGAAGACCGGGACAACAUCGGGAAACCGUUGCUAAUACCGGAUGCCCUCGAAGGAUCGCAUGGUCCAUCGAGGAAAUGGAUUCCGCUUCGGGAUGGCCUCGCGGCCUAUCAGCUUGUUGGUGAGGUAACGGCUCACCAAGGCUUCGACGGGUAGCUGGUCUGAGAGGAUGUCCAGCCACACUGGGACUGAGACACGGCCCAGACUCCUACGGGAGGCAGCAGUUAGGAAUCUUGCGCAAUGGACGAAAGUCUGACGCAGCGACGCCGCGUGCGGGAUGAAGGCCCUCGGGUUGUAAACCGCUUUCAGCAGGGACGAAAUUGACGGUACCUGCAGAAGAAGCCCCGGCCAACUACGUGCCAGCAGCCGCCGCCGUAAAA